rnacentral:sRNA from 12 species
ACCCAGCCAGUGGGUGACGUAGGUCAUGACUGGAUGGCACUAGACGGUGAGUGUGCCAAUUACAAUAACCCCCGUCACCU